ACAUGAAUUCCAGGCCCUACGGGGCGCAGCAGGCGCGAAAACUUUGCAAUGCGGGAAACCGUGAUAAGGGGACACCGAGUGCUAGCAUCAUAUGCUGGCUGUCCAGGUGUGUAAAAUACACCUGUUAGCAAGGGCCGGGCAAGACCGGUGCCAGCCGCCGCGGUAACACCGGCGGCCCGAGUGGUGAUCGUGAUUAUUGGGUCUAAAGGGUCCGUAGCCGGUUUGGUCAGUCCUCCGGGAAAUCUGAUAGCUCAACUAUUAGGCUUUCGGGGGAUACUGCCAGACUUGGAACCGGGAGAGGUAAGAGGUACUACAGGGGUAGGAGUGAAAUCUUGUAAUCCCUGUGGGACCACCUGUGGCGAAGGCGUCUUACCAGAACGGGUUCGACGGUGAGGGACGAAAGCUGGGGGCACGAACCGGAUUAGAUACCCGGGUAGUCCCAGCCGUAAACGAUGCUCGCUAGGUGUCAGGCAUGGCGCGACCGUGUCUGGUGCCGCAGGGAAGCCGUGAAGCGAGCCACCUGGGAAGUACGGCCGCAAGGCUGAAACUUAAAGGAAUUGGCGGGGGAGCACAACAACGGGUGGAGCCUGCGGUUUAAUUGGACUCAACGCCGGACAACUCACCGGGGACGACAGCAAAAUGUAGGCCAGGCUGAAGACCUUGCCUGAAUCGCUGAGAGGAGGUGCAUGGCCGUCGCCAGUUCGUACUGUGAAGCAUCCUGUUAAGUCAGGUAACGAGCGAGACCCA
rnacentral:rRNA from 1 species